AUGUAAUCUAAGUUUUAAUACGAAUGAAAAUAGACACAAAAUAUGAAUUUCGUCAAGGAUCAGAAUGACUUAUAAAUGAAAGAAUCAUUACUCAAACGGUUACUUAGCUUGUUCAAAUCGCUAUAUUAUAGUAUGUGAUUAUUGAAUAUUUUUUUUUGGAAGAAUAAAGACCAUGCAUACCGUCUAUGCGGCUUUGCUGGAAUUGUCAAAUAUACACAACUUGUGAGAUUUAUUUUUAUUUUUGACAAAUAAUAAAUUUCCGUUGGAAACCAAUUAUACUGCGCUGAGACGCAUUUGUUGAGAGAUUGAAAAUUCAAUUCACACAGCAUUCUAAAGCACCAAAAUCAUUUUUUUAAAAGCCCAGAUUUCAAGUCAGGAUACAAAAAUAUUACUUCUACUUAGGGAUGUUUUCAGGUACCUGAAGUGAGAUUUGAAAUUGAAAAAUAUCGUCUGGAUAACUAUACUAAGGACCUUUUUUAUUUAUACGAAAACACAGCUAGUGCCAUGCUUUUUUGUAUGUUUUUACGAAUAUCUGAAAGCAAAGGCUCUACAUACGGCGAAAUUUAAUUGAGACAUAACAAAUGGUUAGAAAUUCCUAUUUCAUCAAAUUGUUCGAUAUUUUGUAGCCAUACCUAGGAAAAAAUUCUUUCUCAA